GGCAGUUCAUGGGGAAGAUGCUCCACUCUGAAAUUCCUAAGCGAAUGGCUCAAGAGAAGCAGCAAACAAUUAACUUACUAAUUGUCUAGUCCAAAAUCAAUCUCCUUUCGGAAGAUUUCUGGGACCCUACGCUCUCCCAAGAGCAGAAAUGAUGAUUCUCUCCUACGUGCUCCUCUGAACCAGCCUUUGCAGGACCCCUAUUCACACGGGGUUACUUGGCACAUCUGCCCCCUCCCACCUUGAUGCAGUGAGGCUCAAUUAUACAUACUGACGGAAGGAAAGAAGGACCACCUCAAGUUCUCUUGCUCAUCCAAGAGCACACGUAAAAAAAAAAAAAAAAAAAAA